rnacentral:rRNA from 1 species
CCUACGGGAUGCAGCAGUGGGGAAUAUUGCACAAUGGGGGAAACCCUGAUGCAGCGACGCCGCGUGAGUGAAGAAGUAUCUCGGUAUGUAAAGCUCUAUCAGCAGGGAAGAAAAUGACGGUACCUGACUAAGAAGCCCCGGCUAACUACGUGCCAGCAGCCGCGGUAAUACGUAGGGGGCAAGCGUUAUCCGGAGUGACUGGGUGGAAAGGGAGCGUAGACGGCCGCGCAAGUCUGGAGUGAAAUCCCGGGGGUGAACCCCGGAACUGCUUUGGAAACUGUGCGGCUGGAGUGCAGGAGGGGUAAGCGGAAUUCCUAGUGUAGCGGUGAAAUGCGUAGAUAUUAGGAGGAACACCGAUGGCGAAGGCGGCUUGCUGGACUGUAACUGACGUUGAGGCUCGAAAGAGUGGGGAGCAAACAGGAUUAGAUACCCCUGUAGUC